rnacentral:rRNA from 1 species
AGAGUGAACGCUGGCGGUAGGCCUAACACAUGCAAGUCGAACGGCAGCACAGUGGUAGCAAUACCAUGGGUGGCGAGUGGCGGACGGGUGAGGAAUACAUCGGAAUCUACCUUUUCGUGGGGGAUAACGUAGGGAAACUUACGCUAAUACCGCAUACGCCCUUCGGGGGAAAGCCGGGGAUCGCAAGACCUGGCGCGGAUAGAUGAGCCGAUGUCGGAUUAGCUAGUGGUGAGGUAAUGGCUCACCAAGGCGACGAUCCGUAGCUGGUCUGAGAGGAUGAUCAGCC